GACGAACGCUGGCGGCGUGCUUAACACAUGCAAGUCGAACGAUGAAGAAGAGAAACGCGAACUUCGGUUCAACUUUCACUUCGGAUUAGUGGCAGACGGGUGAGUAACGCGUGAGCAACCUACCUCUUACAAAGGGAUAGCCUCGGGAAACCGUGAUUAAUACCAUAUGACACAUUCAUAAGGCAUCUUAAGAAUGUUAAAGCUACGGCGGUAAGAGAUGGGCUCGCGUCCCAUUAGCUAGUUGGUGAGGUAACGGCCCACCAAGGCGACGAUGGGUAACCGGCCUGAGAGGGUGAACGGUCACAUUGGAACUGAGACACGGUCCAAACUCCUACGGGAGGCAGCAGUGGGGAAUAUUGCACAAUGGAGGGAACUCUGAUGCAGCGACGACGCGUGAGCGAUGAAGGAAUUCGUUUCGUAAAGCUCUGUUCUAUGGGAAGAAAAGGACUGUACCAUAGGAGAAAGCCCCGGCUAAAUACGUG
rnacentral:rRNA from 1 species